AAUUGUACGUAAAUAACAACAACAGUUUUUUCAGACAAGCUGGAAAUACCACCAUUAAUCACUGAAGAUACUCCCGCUGAUUUUGAAGAACGUACGGUGAUUGUUUUUGAGAGUGAGGUGCUUUGCCAUAACAUGUUGCAAAGACUUGAAACAAAUACAAAAAAUAUGUGCGAAAUAAAAGAAAUUCUAAAGGAAACGAGUGAACAAAUCUCCAAUAUGAAAACGUCAUCAAAUGUGACAAAUCAAAAAGAAAACAGUAAUAGAAGAUAUGCCGCCAAGACCACAAGUAACCAAAUUUUGAGGAAUUAGAAGACUAUCUCUGCCUACUACAACAAGCAGGUUUCUUUGAACUGCUAUCGUCCCAGAUAGGUGGUAAUGGGAAAAAGAACAAUGUGGGG